UGUAGAAAGAAUUCACAUUAUCCAAAGGAGAAAAAAACAGUAAUUGAUUCUUUAGAACAAAUAAAUUAAUUAAUGCAAGUAAAGUAUAUAAUCCAAUACAUGCAAUAAAUGCAUUACUGAAUUCAUUCCCACGUUGCAGCUCACAAUCAAAUGAAAGACGACGAUAUUCCUUUCAGAUGAGAUUGUGUUCAUACAUGGUGGAUUUUGUGCUA
rnacentral:misc_RNA from 1 species